GGAUGCCCUCCGUCGUCACCCCUUAUAACUGUUACCCGCGUUCGGACUAGGUCGUUACGGCGCACUCACUACUUCC
rnacentral:rRNA from 1 species